GACGAACGCUGGCGGCGUGCUUAAUACAUGCAAGUCGAACGGAAAGGCCCUGCUUUUGUGGGGUGCUCGAGUGGCGAAGGGGUGAGUAACACGUGAGUAACCUGUCCCUGUCUUUGGGAUAACUUUAGGAAACUGGGGCUCAUAUAGGAUAGGACAUCUUGAUGCACGGUGGGGGUCGGAAAGUUUCGGUGGUUGGGGGUGGACUCGCGGCUUAUCCGUUUGUUGGUGAGGUAGUGGCUUACCAAGCUUUUGACGGCUAGCCGGCCUGAGAGGGGAGCCGGCGACAUGAGGACUAAGGUACGGCCCAGUAUCCUACGGGAGGCAGCAGUGGAGAGUAUUGCACAAUGGGCGGAAGCCAGAGGCGACAGCGCCGCGUGCGUAAUAACGGCCUACGAGUGGUAAACCACUUUCGCCUGUGACGAAGCGUGAGUGACGGUAAUGGGUAAGAAAGCACCGGCUAACUACGUG
rnacentral:rRNA from 1 species